UAAGCAUUAUACCGCGAAACUGCGAAUGGCUCAUUAAAUCAGUUAUCGUUUAUUUGAUAGCACCUUACUACUUGGAUAACCGUGGUAAUUCUAGAGCUAAUACAUGCUGAAAAUCCCGACUUCGGAAGGGAUGUAUUUAUUAGAUUAAAAACCAAUGCCCUUCGGGGCUCACUGGUGAUUCAUGAUAACUUCUCGAAUCGCAUGGCCUUGCGCCGGCGAUGGUUCAUUCAAAUUUCUGCCCUAUCAACUUUCGACUGCUGGGUCUUGGCCAGCAAUGGUGACAACGGGUAACGGAGGGUUAGGGCUCGACCCCGGAGAAGGAGCCUGAGAAACGGCUACUACAUCCAAGGAAGGCAGCAGGCGCGCAAAUUACCCAAUCCCGACACGGGGAGGUAGUGACAAUAAAUACUGAUACAGGGCUCUUUUGGGUCUUGUAAUUGGAAUGAGUACAAUUUAAAUCCCUUAACGAGGAACAAUUGGAGGGCAAGUCUGGUGCCAGCAGCCGCGGUAAUUCCAGCUCCAAUAGCGUAUAUUAAAGUUGUUGCAGUUAAAAAGCUCGUAGUUGAACCUUGGGCCUGGCCGGCCGGUCCGCCUCACCGCGUGCACUGGUUCGGCCGGGCCUUUUCCUCUGGCGAGCCCCAUGCCCUUCACUGGGCGUGUGGGGGAACCAGGACUUUUACUUUGAAAAAAUUAGAGUGUUCAAAGCAGGCCUAUGCUCGAAUACAUUAGCAUGGAAUAAUAGAAUAGGACGUGCGGUUCUAUUUUGUUGGUUUCUAGGACCGCCGUAAUGAUUAAUAGGGACAGUCGGGGGCAUCAGUAUUCAAUUGUCAGAGGUGAAAUUCUUGGAUUUAUUGAAGACUAACUACUGCGAAAGCAUUUGCCAAGGAUGUUUUCAUUAAUC
rnacentral:rRNA from 1 species